UCAACUGAACCUUAUAACUUAAUUGCAAAUCAUAUAUUUAGAUCAACAAAUUCAUAAUAUACGUUAAAAAUGAACUUUCCUUGGUUACAGGUAGACCUAACCUUAUAAACAUACACCAAACAUUAGGCAAGAAGUGAUGGACUCGGCUCCCCUCCAGUAUGGAUCCCCUCAAAUUUCCCCAGUGCACCCUUAAAUAAGCAUCACCUGUAUGUUCACUUAUAUAAUCAAUGUCUAAACUUAAUUUUCAUAACUACUUAUCUAAAGAGCGAAACUUGUCUACUUUUUAAUCAAUGAUCUAAAAUUAAAUUUCUUAAGUAUCUGUCUAACUAUAGUUAAGGGUCAAUAACUCAUGUAAAUCAAUAACAAAAAACAACCAAAUUCAUGAGUAGGACGCCUUUAUACUAGCCAAAAUAAAAACACAUAAGAACAGAACCAGUAAAAUACUAAAAAGGUGAAACAAACAAACAACCCAACAAUCGAAUUUGAGUCUCAUAAAAAGAAGAAGAUGAGUGAUCCUAUUUGAAAUCAAAAUUAGAGAAAAUAAAUAAGAUACUAAAGUAAUCUUUCUGUAAAACAUCAUGGUGCUCUCCUAUUAUUCAUAAAUUUUCUACGCGCUUCUUCAAUAUAAUGUAAUUGAAAUGAUAAUAAUCGAUAAAACUGACUCUGACUCAAAGGCUAAGUUGCCAAAUGCCCCACUUUGAAAACUUUCUAAUUUACCAUUUAGACACAAGUCUUGAAAAAUUUAUCAAUUAUGAUGUCAUCAUCUAUUCUUUUCAACUUAAUAAAUCUAGCACACAAGUUUCUAAUAAUAUACCUUAGCCCUCCUCCUUUCAUCCAUAAUUAUAUUCAAAAUAUCUUGUCAAAAAUAAUUUUAAAAAAUUUUCAAAAGCUUUAAAAAGAAGCUUUCAAUUUUCCUUCAAAAUUUUUCGUUUCAGGCAUAAUUUCGAUGGUUUUUUUGAUGAUCAACUCAAAAUCAGUCCAUAAAUGUCAUAAUUUUGUCCACUGCAUCCAUUAUUACCCCAUUUAUUUGUUAUCUUCUCAAACACACUUUUCACCAUUGUUAGAAAGCUUCCAAAUCACUCACAUUACUCAAAACCUCUUUAGAAAGUACAUUGUAGUAGCUGAGGCAACUCUAACUUCGUUUCUCUACUGCAUAAACCCAACGAUCGUUGAUUCAAAGCAAUAUUUGUACUUUCACUAUUUUGUACGGAUAUCAGUCCAAUCAUCGACCAGUAAUCAACCAUUCAUAUAACAGGCAUAUACUAGCAGGAGAAUCGAGGAUCGACUCUAGUGUAAUUCUAGGAUGUCUAUUGCAGAGGUUGUUCUUGUUUUUAGUGAUUUCAUGGGAGAAUGGGAGGAGACUCCCAAACGUUGAAAUUGAAAAUCUUUUAUUAAGGUGACAUUAUCCAUUGCUGUUCACCGUAAUGGUUCAUACAAUGACUUGGUUGUAAGUAUAAUGGAGAGCGGGGAUUUAGAUUGCGAGCCAAGCGAUGUGGUAAUUAGUUAUCUAAUGAACUCAAGAGAAAAAAAUGCAUCAUACGGUCAUAAAUAAUUUCAGACGUGUGUCCUUUUAUAUGAUGGGUGUUGGUGUUGAUGGCUUUAGGCCUAUUUUAAGAAUAAAUAUAAUUGAGAGCCCCUUUGAAGAACCGUUGAAUUAGUCACCACCCCCACCUCGGCACCCGUCAAUCGAUGACGAUUUGAAUGAAUACGAGAAUGAUG
rnacentral:lncRNA from 1 species